CCUACGGGAGGCAGCAGUAGGGAAUAUUGCUCAAUGGGGGAAACCCUGAAGCAGCAACGCCGCGUGGAGGAUGAAGGUUUUCGGAUUGUAAACUCCUUUUGUUAGAGAAGAUAAUGACGGUAUCUAACGAAUAAGCACCGGCUAACUCCGUGCCAGCAGCCGCGGUAAUACGGAGGGUGCAAGCGUUACUCGGAAUCACUGGGCGUAAAGAGCGCGUGGGCGGGAUAGCAAGUCAGAUGUGAAAUCCUAGGGCUUAACCAUAGAACUGCAUUUGAAACUGUUAUUCUAGAGUAUGGGAGAGGUAGGUGGAAUUCUUGGUGUAGGGGUAAAAUCCGUAGAGAUCAAGAGGAAUACUCAUUGCGAAGGCGACCUGCUAGAACAUAACUGACGCUGAUGCGCGAAAGCGUGGGGAGCAAACAGGAUUAGAUACCCCUGUAGUC
rnacentral:rRNA from 1 species